rnacentral:piRNA from 1 species
UGCGGGCACCCUAGCCCUGGUGCGUCA